CCAAUGGUAUUUUAAUCUUUCCGACUAUGGAAGACGAUGGCUUUGUUUUUUUUUUUUUUUUUGCUUUUUCUUUUUUUUAAUGUAUCAAGUCAGUGUGUACAAUGGCCAAAUGAAUGUAGACACACUAUACAGAACAGAAACAUAUAUAAAAUAGCUUAUUGGAAUUGAGCACAUGCACAAACUUUUUUCUAUAUUAGAGUAAAAACGUAUACAUAUUUCAUAUGUAGGCCAGCUUUGAGAUUUUUGUAUGUAUCUUAGUAAUCUGAAUUUUAUUUGUUAAGGUAUAAGAAAAGUAAAAGCAAAAAGAAAAAAGUCUUCUAUAUCUGGUAGUAUUUGAUUAUGUUUGAAUAUUUGACUGUUAUAGUAACAUUUGUUAUAUAAAAUAACAAACAAAAAAAUAGAGAGAGAGGAGAAUUUCAGAACGGAAGAACAUAUUUCAUAUGUCGAGGAAGAGGGUCUCGAUCUCACUUAAUAUAUUCAGGCUGACCUAAUCAAAUUUUAGAAACCCUAAAAGAAACAUAAACAUAAACAUAAUAAGAGUGUGAAUGUUUUGUUUCUUGUUACUCAAGUAAAUUAUAGAUCGCAAGGUUAUUACAUUAUUAUAGUUAGUAGCAUUAUUAAUUAGAAUAUGAACAUAGGAGCGGUCGGCCCUGAGAUUUUAACGUACGGGUCUCGAACCUUAAAGAAUCACUUUGUGGUCUGUUUCGAUCGUCAAUAUUUAAGUUAGAAAGGUUAAACUAAACCAAUGCAGCGUCUACCAAAUCUUAAGAUUAAGCACUCUCUGAAACAAUGAAACUACCGUAUACAUUAUUAACAUCAUCAUUCUUUUCUGUUUUCUAAAAAUCUAAUUAAUCAUAAGCUUCUGACUAUUAUAUAAUCCAGAGCAGCCCACUACGAGACCCAUACAAUUUUUUUUCUUUUCUUUUGUAUCACUCCCACAAAACAUUUUUCAAACAUUGAUGUUUGGAUUUUCAAACAUAUUACCCUAAUAUAUCUUUAGGAAAAAAUUAACAACUCCUUAGUUGUGUGGGAAAAAUUACCACUUGUAUUUAUUUAUUUUUUUGUACAAAAAUUAUUCACCAAUCGUAUUAUUUUCUUUAUGCAUAUAUAACCAAAAAAAAAAAAAAAAGUGAGGCCCAUUUAAAGAAGGGGCCAUUAAAAUGUUUCAAAGCAAUAUAUAAAAGAAGAAACAAAACAAAAAGAUACUGCUAUGUGAUUUCCUAUACUAUUCGUGUUAUUUGAUUGUGGUGGAUUCUUAUUAACCCAUAUGUACAUCUUAAUCUCUCAGCUUCGGACUGUUGGAAUUCAGAUCGGCCCAGUAUAAUAUAGAACAGUGUGUUCUCAAAAUUUAUUGUUUGAUUAUUGUAUGGCCCGUUUUUUCCCCUUAUUGGGCCACAAAUAACUGCCUUUUAAUCAAACUACCAUUUUCUGUUUAACUCGUUUUUAAAAGUUUUUUUUUUUUUUCUUAGCUUACGUGUAUUUUUUGGGGCUAGUAAUCAAAAUCAGUAAUACAAAACCCUGAUAUCAAAUAAACAGCUGAAAUUGUAUUGUAAUAAUAAACUCAACUAUUACGGUCAGAUUUUUCUUUUCUUUUCCUUCUUAAUAACACAUGCAAAUUUCAUAUUACAUUUCAUUUUUUUUAGGAUAAAGUUUUGUUUAGUAUAUAUAUAUAUAUUGAAAAAGCAAAGCAAAUUGAACCGACAAAUAGAUGCACACAACUGACAAAUUUGUUGGUAGAGAGGUAUGGAAGGAUCAGCAGCAAAAAGGGACUUUUAAAAAAUGUGAACUUUGACUGUGUGAAAAUGUGAGUGAGAGUCUCCCCCUAAAACCUCCCCCAACUUCUCCACCGUCAUCGUCAAGCUUACGCCAAGUCGCCCAACCGUAUUUAUUUAUUGUCACACAGCAUAAACUACCAUUUUUAUAUAUGAAACCACACACAUAAAGCAUAAAACUAUUUUUUUCAAUAUGUAACGCCAUAUAUACUCUUAUUGUUUUUUUAUUUGUCAACAAAAUGUAACGCCGUAUUCAAUUAUUUUAUUUUGAAACUGAUACAAACUUUCAUAAAGUUGGCUAAAACUAAGAUUUAACUAAUACGCUAGCUCACGCUUCUUCUUCUUCUUCUUUUCGGUGUAACGCGUGCGUUUGUUUAGUAUAAAAUGCCAAAACCUAAAUCCAUAUACUUAAUUUUAUCGUGGUCUGAAAGUUUCACCAUGGAUUAAAAAACUUCUACUACCGUUUUAACUGUGGUUGAUAAUGGCAGAUAUUGUAAAAGACAAACAUGUAUGAUUUAGUUAUGAACCAAAAAAAAAAAAGGUGGCUAUGAUUUGGUCAAAUGAUCGUGGCUUGUAGAGUAAUUCUCCUCGAUACUGAAAAUUACGAGAACAGUAAACAAAAGAAUGGAUUAUGAAUAGACGUGAACGAGUAAAUAUUCUAAAAGUAGGAGCAAUAAGGUCAACGACAAAGAAAAGUCAAGAACUUGUUUAUUUUCUGAAUUCUGACCGGAUAUCACUCCACGAGGCCAGGCUGCUGCUACCACAAGCGUCUGUUUUCAGUUUUUGGACCAAUAAAUACACUUAGUUUUUCUGUUUUUCAAUUAUAUAUAUAUAUAUUCUUAAAGAUUAAAACAGUGAAUAAGAUACUAUCCUAUUACUCAAUAGCUUAUCAAUUUCUUGAUAUCACUGUUGAAAUAUAUGUAUAAUUGUAUAUAUACAUACUAAGGUCACACUCAAUUGUAAACACUGAACUGUUUGCAUUCAUUAAUAUAGGCCUCAUUGAUUGAACAUUAUGGAAAACUAAUAAAAUGAUGAUAACCAAUAAGGAAUCAUCAAUGAGCUAUACUGCUAUAGUAUGUAUUUAUAAUGCUAGCUAAUAAUUAAAAAUUAUAUAUCCAUCAUAAAAAAAAUAAAAAAAUGCAGGAAAUCCAUGUGAAAAAGUGGUCCGACAAUAUAAUAGUCAAUCAUCACGAUAGUAAGAACGUAAUAACAUAUAGAGUUAGAUGCGUAUUCAUAUCACAUUAUGAAAUGCUGCUGCUCAUUUGUUUUAUAAUUUCUUUUUGUUAUAUAAAGUGGACAUCUUUUGUCAACAAAGAGUAGGAAAGGUAGUUUCGUUUUUAAUAAUGUGGUGUUGUGUAAUGUAACGUAAAGUAAAUAUGUGUCAUUCACUGACAAAAACCUAAUUAAUACAAAAGAGAAGCCAUGGAGAACGACUAUAAACGCGUUUCUUACUCUCUUCCCUUUUCCCACCUUCCCCUACACUCUUCGAUCAUGCCCUUUUUUUUGUCUGAAAACUCUGAAAAGGUUUAGAUCUAUAAUCAUGAUUUUUUGUAAAAUAUGGAUCAUCUAUUUUAUAUAAUAUGUAACGAUGAAGUUGUAUUUGAAUUUGGAUAUAUCCCACACAAAUCAGAAAAAUGGUUGUUAUAAGCUCGUUUGUAUUUUAAAAAUAUGUAAGAACCUAUUGUGUUGUGUGUAUAUGGAUGUUGAUAUUAAUUAAGGUGGCCUAGUUAAAUGGCUUGAACUGAACUAAGAUAAGCACAGAAAAGUUUUGGAAACGUAAUAAGAACUUGAAUUUUAAGAUCUAUCCAAAUAUCCAAUUGAUUUUUCCAAAUCAACCCAACUUGGAAGAGAUUCUACUCUUCAAAGUUUUUUUAUUCCUUUUUUCUUUUUAAAUGAAAGAUAUUAAAAAAUAAAUUUGUGUAUAGGAUAUCUCUAUCAUAGUUGACUGUUUAGACUUUUAGAGUAAGGCCAAGUUCUUCUUUGCCUACAUACCCCACUUCUAUUAUAAAAAGACAGUAACCUUUCUGGAGAUCACUCUUUCUUAUUUUGUGUGUUAGUGCGUUGAGAAAAAGAGAGAGAGAGCGAGAUAGAAAUCGCCAUGGCUCAUGUAAGUUAUCUUCUUUAAUCCUUUCUCCUUGUUUCUUUCUGUCGUCUCUAACAUUCCAAAAGUUCCAUAGCUCUCUCUCUUUUUGGCAAAUCGUUUAGUUUCUUCAUCAAGUUCCAUCUUCAAAAAUAAUGUUUUAUCCUCACAUAACACCUUAUCUAGCUACCUUACUCUCUCUGAUACUAUUAAAAUCCACCACUCAUAUAUACACUAAGUGCCAAACUUGGUCACGUGUUUGGCCCUCCGUGGUUCUUGAAUCUUGAAGAGCUUGAAUCCUUUGUUUUUGUGGGUUCUUGAAUCUUGAAUCUUGAAUCACUGUUUCUUGUGGGUUCUUGAUUCCUUUGAUUCUUGAAUCUUGAGUCCUCUUUGUGGGUUCUUGAUUAGAGAUUUUAUUAGCAUAUUUUUGUACUAAUUAAAGUAAUAAAAUGGGGACAGGGGAGAUAUGAUGAUUACAAGAAGAAAAGUGGACAGAUUCCUCGGUUUGGAGAAUGGGAUGAAGCAAAUGAGAUGCCAAUAACACAAUACUUUGAGAAUCCAAGACAAGCUGGUCUGCUUCGCCACCAAAACUACACCACCACUUCUUCUUCUUCCACUACCACUUCAUCUACAUCUUCUUCUUCUUCUUCUGCAGAAGCCCUAAAGCUUGCUUCACACCGUCCACGUCACCACCAUCCUUCAAGACAGGUUCAUUUACUUAUUUGAUUUUUCUUGAUUAUAUAAAUAAUAAUUAUAUAUUUAAUUAACUCGAUAAGUGUAAUUAUCUAAAGUCGUCUAAGAGAAACGCGUUGUUUGGUGGUAAAUGACUUGGCGUAGACGGCGGGGAUGAGGGAGAAAAGAGGACCACAAAGGCGUGUGCGUGACGUGAGUGCACAGACAGACAAGUAUUACAUUGACGUCAACGGAGUCAAGCACUUUCAAAACGACGACGUCGCUCCCAUCUCAAGGCCACCUAAGCCCGUCGAUGAAGAUCUCUACAAGAUCCCUCCUGAACUUAUCCAUUCUUCAACAAGGGUAAGUCAACCACCAUCUCACUCACACAUGACCUUUUCCUCUUAACUAAUACUAGUUUUGAUAUUAAAAUGGUACAUAUAAUUACAUGGUGUAGCAGAAGAGAAGGCCUAGCUUUUUAGCUUGUUUGGUUCCAUGCGCAUGAAUUUGGGGAAGGAAGAAUCAAGAGAAGGAGAAGAAAGAAAAAUGUAGGAUCAAGAAUGAAUAAUGUAAUUUGUUUUGUUGGUUUGUUUAAUUUCAUUUAAUAUAUACAUAUAUGAUAUAUAUACAUGGAUUUUGGCAGAAAAAAAGAAAAGAAGAAGAGAUAGCACACUAUUGGUUUAUAGAAAAAAGAGGAACAAAGUAACAUCGGAGUAGUCCUUUUGUCUUAUUGCAUAUCUACUUUAUAAGAUUUUCUCUCCUUCUUUUGUCAUGUACGUUCUCAACAUUUUUUUGUGUGUGCAUGUUAUUUGUAAUGAGGACUACUACAUCUUUAUAAAUUGAAUCAAUUACAGACUUGAGUAAAAAAGAAAAUUAAACAUCCCAAAAAUAUGAUUGUAAACUAACAAUAACUAUAUAUAUAUUGUAAACUAUUGUUUGCAAGGAAAAAACUUACAUAAUGGUUGGUGAUCGAACGAAGAAUUACAUAAAGAUGUAGUAGUGCUCAAAAUGAUCUUCAAAACAAAGAAGUAACCAAUCACAUAAAAGAGUAAGAAAAGUCAUUAGUAAGUAAGUAGAUGGCCUAACCAACCCCCACUAUAUAUUUCGUUUUCUCCUUGAAGUCAAUAUCACACUUAUGCUACUUUUGAAUUUUCGAUUAUCCCGUGAACCUCUAAUUUUAAUCAAUUCGUGUGUAAAAAAAUUAAUACUUUUUGAAUAUAGAAUGUAUAUGUACGCAGCCUGUUUUAAUCUACGGAGGAUAAGAAAUGGUGAUGGUGAUUGGUGGUGAAUGUGGUGGUAUUGCUAUAAAGUCAUCACAUUGAUUUGAUUCUCCAUGUUGUUGUUGUUACAUCACCCUAGUCCUUUUUUUUUCUUUCCCAAUUUUAUCCCCACAUUAUCUCCAACCAAUUACUACCGACGCCUUCGUCAAGUUUCUUAAUCACGGAUAGGUUUAUUAACCCCACCAUAAUUACCUUUUUUUUUAACAAGUAAUCAAUUAUGUUGUGAAGUACAGUAAUUACAUGUUGUUAUACAUUUGUUGCUUUCGGUUGACUGGAGUCGACUUAGCCAUACAUGGGAGGAGACUAUGACCGGCCAGCCAUAUAAGCCGCCCAUUCAAAGAUAAUGCCAUUGCCGUCCGUUUGGAUUUCGACAUAUGUUGUAUAUUACUAACCAUUAUGACACUCACUAGUCACUACAAAAAGACAACCUCUGCUUUAUGUAAUCCUCAUUUCACGAUCUUGAAUCAGAAAGUCAACUAAAGAGUAGCAAAACUCAGGAACUUUUCAUUCCCAAAGAGGAGAGACUAUAUACACCUUUGCCUUCUAUCUUUAAUCUCUACACUUUCUAUGACUAUAUUUACCAUCAAUAUUGGAUCGGUAAGAGUCAGUUUGCAAAUCUAUUUACGUAUUAACAACACCUGAUUCCUUCAUGCCCUCUGUGGCUCUUUACCAGUAACGAAUUUCUUAAUCCACUGUAAAAUCCCUUGUGCCUUCCUCACCGCACGAACUGAUCCUUGCUUUGCAAGUUUUGUAAAUGUCCCGUGUUUAUUCUCCUCUUCUCCUACCACUUUCAGCCUGGAUUGGUCUCUGUUUCUGUCACACAUGUUGAAGACGAUCACUACAGCGUUCUCCCCAUUCAGCAAGCUACUCGGUUUCCUCAAUAUACUGAACAGAUCAUAGAUAAACCCUAGCUUAUCCAUUUCCUCAAUCGCCCGGAUGUGUGUGGAAAUCAGCGCCAAGAGAGAUAACAACUCAUCCACAUUGCUUCCUGCUUUGACCUUUUUGGUUGCCGCACGUAUCAGACCCGCUGAAACCACCUUUUCCUUGUUCUCCAAUACAAUACAGAGGUUAAAGACCGUGGAAGUGGCUUCUUUUGUGGCUAACACAUCACCCUCUUCGAUAAGAUCAAUCAGCGCCUUGACGGCUUCCGAGUUCCCAAUGAUCAUCUUGUUAGAAUCAAUGGCUGAGAGUGAUGACAAAGUCGCUGCAGCGUUUCUCCGUGUCUCAGCUGUCCCCUGUUUCAAAGACUUUGUGAGCAGAGGGAUCACUAGACGGUUCUCAGCAAUGACUGUUUUGUUCUUCUCAAGAAUCGAGAGGUUGAACAAUGUUGUGACAAGAUUCUCCUGAAGCUCAGGGUUCAAGUCUACUGCCUCGCCCAAAGUAGAGAGCGGACUGAGCAAUCGGGUGAUCGAACCAGGGAGUUCCUCGACAAAGAAGACACGGACAUUGGUAAAUUUCUUGGUCUGGCGGCGCAGCUCUUUUGAAGCUUCUGUCUGAUCCGCAACGGAGGAGGCAGAGGAAAUCCGGUGAAGCAGUGCCUCUAUGUCACUAGUGAACAGCUCAGUGACUAUUUCUUCAGGUGGAGGUUUUCGCCGAUCAAAUUUGUUAGCACGACACCAUUGCGUAAUCAACUCAUUGACCAAAUGGUUUGAUAUCCAAAAACCGUGAGCGAGGACUUCUUUGCUUUUGGGACAUAUACGUUCAUGCUUCAGCCACUCUGUGAUAUAUCUCUUUUCAUACGUCUGAAAAUUAAAAAAGACAAAAAAAGAAGCAAAAUCAGCACAAACACUAGAAUCUUGCAUCUUGAAUCAUCGAGUCUCCGUCGUUAGUAUAAAACAAAAUGAACAUACUAUCAUAGUUCUUUUAUUGGCAAUGUGAAUCAUAACUCUGUUUCUUUGUUCUGUGACACACUGAAACUUUAUAUGCGUAUACAUAAAAAGAAGGUGCAUUCUUAUAUUUACACACACAACAAUAGCAUUGAUACGAAUACAUGGAAAUCAAAACACAUGCAAACAAAAAGAUGAGCAAGAAUCACAAGAAAUCGUUAGAAACUUGGAAAGAAAUUUACUAAUAGAAAGAAAAAAAAACAGAGAAAAGGAUCAAACCUGGCCAGAAGCGAUGAUCACAGGUUCGAUCAUGAUCGUAUUGGAGAGUGUACAUAUGAACUCUUUCGGCACUUUCACCGGAGAAAUAUCAGAUUCCGGCUUUCUCGAUUCUUCUACUCUCCUCAGACAAUUCAGGAUUCUGAUCGCUUCAUCAAUCGCUUUCACAACUCCGAAACAAGCUUCAGUCUCACCGCGAUCUUUGCCUCCUCCUCCGUCGUGUAGAAUCUCAGCCAGUACUUUCUGUAACUCCCGCCUCAGAGUAUCGGCGUUUGCUUCCGUCGCGUCCGCCGUCGAAUCCGCCAUUUCCGCCGGAGAUUUCUCGACGAACACAAAAGCAGAAGAAAAACCCUAGAAACUUCGAGAAUUUGGGGAAAUUUGCAGUUUACAGAAAGAAGCGAAGAAACAAAAAUGAAUCAGUUGGGGUAUUUUUUUUUAUAUAUAGUUUCUGAUGAGUUUAUUCAUUCAUCUUCUUCUACUUCUUCUUAUUUUUUUUCUUUCUUUAUUUAAUUAAACUUCGAUUUGGGUUUUAAAUAAUUACGUACGCCACCUGUGUAUUUAGACUGCCACGUCAUAUCCGCAUUCUCUGCAUUCUUUUUUGGGAAUUAGCUUUUUAGCUGACAGACGACUUUGAUUGGUCAGCUUCAUUUUACAGAUUCGGUGGUUUUUCUUAAAUAAAAUUCUUAAAGCAUGCUUUGUAUUUUUUUUUCGUGCAAUGUUUUAACUGUCACUUUAAUUACUCCACUUGUAUUUUAGACCAUUAAUUUUGGUAAUGUACUCCACUAAUUAGCUAAGAUCGUUUUUCCUUUACGUAUUUGCAAUUUUAUUAGGAAGUCCCAUAAGAGAGGCACUCUUUCCUUUUUGCAUUUUCAUUUUUUGUAUAUAUAUAUUUAAUUUAUAUGCUUUGUUACACGAUACGGUUUACUAUUCUGAUGUGUAAACGAAAAAUAAAGAAAAGCUUAAUUUGAGAUUGGCGUUUUUACUAAAAUAGAGACAUGUUCUGUUCACACUUCACACUAUAUAUAUUUAACUUACAAUACAUAACGUAUGGUAUGAUACAUUGUUGUCUGGCACAUAUAUAUAUAUACAUUAUAUACAUUCUAAACAACUAUCUUUCCUGCUCUAUUUAUUAAAAAACGAUAUAUUAUAUUAUCACUAUUGAUAUAUAUGUUUUUUGGUUAAAAAUCACUAUUGACAUAUAGAAAUAGAAUUCGCUAGUUGUUGUAGUUUGAGUAUACGAAAAAUGCAUGGUGGAGUAUACAUUUUCUUGUGGUUAUAUAGUUUUGAGUAUACGAAAAUUGAGCAACAUGCAUGCAUGGUGGAGUAUGGUACUCUUCUUUUUCUUGCGAGUAUUGAAAGAAAAAUGCCUACAGUUUUGUAUAGCUUGCUGAUGAGAUUGAGUGGUUUGUAUAGUUUUCAAGAAGUUUGGUUCGUUUACCCGGCCCAACCAAAAAAUAUAUAUCAAUCAGCUUUGUUGAACACGAUUUAGAAGAUAAAAAAUACAAGAGAAAACAUCCACAUGACUUGCUGGUUUUGCGCAGUCUCCAUUGUGUGUCUUUAUAUAUACAUAUAGCCAUGUGUCAUGAUUAUCCUACUUUUGGUCCCAAAUUUUCAACUAAACUUCUCUGCAUCACUCUUUGUGCUAUUUACACUUUUAACGGUCGGCAUAAAACGAAACGUAUAUAACCUUUUUUAAAAAACUAAUCGAUAAAAAUAUCUUGUAGCUAUCCUUUAUACUUGAAGCCAAGAAAAAUAUUCUCUUAUAUUAAAAAAAAAAAUCUAGAGAGAAAAAGGGAGACAAAUUGUUAAAAUGAUGCAUCAGAGAAUAUGAGAUGGCUAUAAGGAUCCAAUGACUAGAUGAAGUUUUGAUUUUGAAUAUCUCUCUCAGUGAUCAUAACGCACUAUUCGGAGAGAUUCGGACAGAGUGAAAAUCCUGAUCCACCGUGAAAUAUAUUUAGCUUUUCUGACCACACCAUCUGAUCCUUGCCUUGAAAGCUUCCCAAAUGUCCCGUGUGGAGUCUCCUCGUUGCUGAGCAUUGAGUGUCUAUGCAUGCCUUUGAUUUUACCAAACAUGUUGAUGACGGUAUCUAAAGCGUUCUCACAAGUCACCAUGCAACUUGUGUUCCUCAAGAUCUCCAUCACGUCAGAGACAAUCUCUAACUCCUCUAUUAUACCCUGAGCCCUGCUGUUUGAAGAUAUCGGUGCCAAGACAGAUACCAUCUCCUCCACGUUUCUUCCUACUCUGAUAUUUUUGACUAUUGCGGGAAUCAAACCCUCUGAAAUCGCCUUUCUCGUGUUCUGCUGCGAGUCAAGACAGAGCUUGUAAACAGCGUAAGCAGCUUCACCUAUGUCGUCAGCCGGCUCCCCGAUACGAUCUAUCAAAGCCUUGAGUGCUUCCGAGUUCCCGAUGAUGAUCCUGUUGGAAUCAAUGCCUGAAAGUGUCGACAAAGUCUUUGCAGAGACGUUUUUUGUUUCCUCUGUCCCCUUCUGCAGAGACUUUGUAAGCAGUGGCAUCACCUGAGGAUGCUCAGCAAUCACUGUUUGGUAAUUCUCAACAGUCGAGAUGUUCAACAAUGAUGUCAUGAUAUUCUCUUGUAGAUCAGGAUUGGCGUCUACGUCAUCGCCUAAUACAGAGAGCAACCUGGUGAUCGAAUCAGGGAGUUCCGUGACAAAGAAGACACGUGCGUUGACAUAUUUCUUGGUCUGGCGGCUAAGCUCUUUUGCAGCUUCUAUCUGAUCUGAAACCGAGGAGGGAGAGGAAAUACGCAGAAGCAAUGAUUCGAUUUCACCAGUGGAUAGCUCAGUCACUAUGAUAUCAUCAUCAGAUGGUUUUGGCCGAUCAACUUUGUUAACAAGACACCACUGCGUAAUCAAGUCAUUGAUCAAAUGGUUGGGUGUCAAAAACAAGUGAGUGAGGACUGCUUCGGUUUUGGGACAUAUAUUGUUAUGCUUCAGCCACUCUGUGAUGUCUCUCUUUUCAUAAGUCUGAAAGAAAAAGAAAAAGAAAAAAAAGUAAAGGGCAAAAAUCAGCACAAACAACAGAAUCUGUAUCUUGACUGUCAAGAAACACAACUCGAUCGUUCUAUUGUUUGCAUAAGACAAAAUGAACAUAUUUGUAUACGUACACAUUCAUAAUAUCAUGGAUGCUUUCUUGGCAAGCUGAACCAUAACGCUCUGUUUCUUGUUUUAUGAUACCAAAACUAGAAGGUGCAGUUAUACAAGAGCGCUUUCAUCUAUGUAUCAAAAUAAAGAUGCAUGCAAAUAAAAAGAUGAAUGAAAAUCAAGAAACCUGGCCGGAAGCGAUGAUCACAGGUUCGAUCAUGAUCGUAUUGGAGAGUGUACAUAUAAACUCUGUCGGCACUUCCACCGGUGGCUUAUUCGACUCAACUUCCCUUAGACAAGUAAGAAUUCUAAUAACAGCCUCAUCAAUUGUUUUCAAGACUCCUUCAUCAGUCUCGACUCGAUGAUCUUUGCCUCCUACUCCGUCGUGGAAAAUCUCCGUCAGUACCUUGUGCAACUCCAGAGUCUCGUCAGCGUUCGCUUCAGUCACGUCCGCCAUUUCAACCGAAGAUUUUCUCAACGAACGUACGCUCUCGAUCGAUCCACACAGAACCCCCAAAGCAAGAGAAGCAAAAAGCCUAGAGAAACUCGAGAAUAGUUGAAAAAUUAAUAUCUUUGGAAUUUAGAGAGAAGCUAAAAGAAUCUGUUAUAUAACAGUUAUAGAGAUGAAUUUGUUAUUCUUGCUCCUCUGCAUGUUUUUCUUUAAUGUUUAUUUCAUAUCUUGUAAAUGUAAUUUAAUAUAACUUUUCUGUUUACUAAUUUGAUGUGUCAACAAUAUAUAAAGACGAGAUUUAAUACACCAAUAUAUUAUAUUAGGGUAUGCUCGUUUGCCCCAACCAACAAAUAAAACCUUUUGUCGAAUAUGAUUUUAUACGAUGAAAAUAAGGAAAAAAGGUCAAAUUAAUUCAGACUCCAUUGUGUACAAAACUAGGGACCUAUAGGAUCCAAUGACAAGAACUUUUGAUUUUGAAAACUCAGGCCUCUGUGCCCUCAGUGGCUCUCUCUUUACUAUCAGCGAACCUCUUAAUCCACCUUAAGAUCCAUUCGGCCCUUCCGACCGCAUUAUGUGAUCCUUUAUGUGAAAGCUCCAUAAAUGUCCCGUGUUUAAUCUCCUCUUCUUCGAGCAUUUCCAGUCUAGACCCGUCUUUGUUUUUCAUAAACAUGUUGAAGAUGAUUUCUACAGCAUUCUCACAAGUCAUCGAGCUACUCGGUUUCCUCAACAUCCCCAACAGAUCAUUAAAAAACCCUAGAUCCUCCAUUUCCUUGGCAGCCCUGCUGUCCGUACAAAUCGAUGUCAAGAUAUUUAGCAUCUCAUCCACAUAUCUUCCUGCUUUGAUAUUUUUGAUUACUACUGGAAUCAAACCCGCUGAAAUCGCCUUUUCAUAGCUCUCCGAUCCAUUACAGAAGUCGAGAACAGCGUGAGCAGCUGCUUCAACCGUGGUAUCUGGUGACGACCGUUCGAGUAGAUCUAUCAGAGCCUUGAGUGCUUCUGAGUUCCCGAUGAUGAUCCUGUUAGAAGCAAUGUCUGAGAGUAACGUUAGAGUCGCCGCAGAGGCUUCUUGUGUUACAACUGUACCCUUUUGCAGAGACUUUGCAAGCAGUGGCAUCACAUGAGGGUUCUUAGCAAUUACUGUUGUAUCCGGUUGAGCAGUCGAGAUGUUCAACAAUGAUGUGAUGAUACUCUCUUGAAGCUCAGGAUUGGCGUCUACGUCAUCUCCCAAAACAGAGAGCGGAGUGAGCAACCUGGUGAUCGAAUUAGGGAGCUGCGCGACAAAGAAGAUACAAGCGGUGACAUAUUUCUUGGUCUGGCGGCUAAGCUCUUUCGCUGCUUCUAGCUGAUUUGAAACCGAGGAGGGAGAGGAGAUACGCUGAAGCAACGAUUCCAUGUCAUCGCUGAACAGUUUCAUGAAUAGUUCAUCAGAUGAACGUUUUGGUCGAUCAACUUUGUUAACUCGACACCAUUGCGUUAUCAACUCAUUCAUCAAAUGGUUUGGUGUUAAAAACAUGUGUGAGAGGACUUCUUUGGUUUUGGGACACGUACGGUUAUGCUUCAGCCACUCUGUGAUGUAUCUAUGUUCAUACGUCUGAGAAAGAAAAAAAAAACAGAGUAAAGAGAGCAAAAUCAGCACAAACAACAGAGUAUGUAUCUUUGAACCCUAAUUCUUGACUGUCAAGAAACACUCGAUCGAUGUUUGCAUCGAUCUGUUCUUGGCAAUGUGGAAUCAUAACUCUGAUAAACUAAAACAGUAAGAAGAAGAAAAUGACAAAGAUCAAACCUGGCCAGAAGAUAUGAUCAUAGGUUGGAUCAUGAUGUUCUUCGAGAGUGUACAUAUAAACUCUUCCGGCACUUUCAACGGUGGCUUCUCCGAUUCCACUUUCCUCAGACAAUCCAAGAUUCUAACAACAGACUCAUCGAUUGCUUUCAAGACUCUGUUACUUCCUUCAUUCUCGCCGCCAUUUUUGCCUAGUCCGUCGUGGAAAACAUCCGUCAGUACCUUGUGCAACUCCAGCCGCAGAGUAUCGGCUUUUGCUUCUGUCGAGUCCGCCGGCGAAUCCGCCAUUUUCAGCCUGAGAUUAUCUCGAUAAACUCACGAGAGAAUACACAGGACCCAAAGCGAAAUAGAAACUUGGAGAAUUGUGUACUUAGAGUGAAGCGAAGAAGAAACUGUUAGUUAUAUUAUCAGUUUGAUGAGUUUGUUAUUCGAUUUAACUUCUGUUUUUUUAAAAAAAAAUUAAUAACAUAGUCCUCGUCGUUGUUGUCAAUAUACUCAUCUUUAAGCGAAAUAAAUUUGCCAAUCAUAAUGCAAGCCUCUUGAAUCUCAAACAUAUAGAGUCUAAAAAAAUCAACAUGUAAUAUCUUACAGGAUCCAACAUUUCUACAAGAUAGGUAAGGCUUUUCCUCAAUCUUCAUCGAACCAUAUGAAAUUAUUCUCAAUAUCGCUGGAGAUUGUUCCUGAUGAAUUUAGAAAAGGCAGCUUGCAGUGACGUGUGAUACAAUCUGGAAUAGUGUCAAUAUAGUUAUUCCUGAAAUAGAAUGGUCGAGGAAGAUCAGGGUUAUGAAUGUUUCUCAUCUCCAUCACCAGAUUAUGACAGAACCGAGAGCUCUGGAAGAUCUCUACAGGAAAGCUCUCAACAUUUUUGCAUCCCAGGAAAUCUAGUGUUUCGAUAUGUUCCAGCCUAGAUAUCCCAGAAGAGAUGCUUCUUAGCUUCAUGCAGCUAUUCAUCAAUAGUUUAUUGAGCCGAAAUAGUUUCUCGAUCCACAAAGGGACUUCUUCAAUCCCUGUUCUGCUAAAAUCCAACCAUUCUAUAGUGUCUGGAAGACAUGGAAAUGUCUUAAGGCUCUUGCAGCCUGACAUGUCCAGUGCUGCCAGACAUGGCCAGGACGCGACUGUUGUGGGAACUUCUUCUAUUGCAGUUUCUGAUAGAGAGAGAUAUCCAAUCUUCGAAGAAAUUUCUGGAAAACUCUCUAAUCGUGAGCAUCUAUCGAGAUUGAGGAUGCUAAGAGAUUCCAAGUUCAUAUUGCUGGGGAAAAUCUCUAGCUUUGAGCAAUACUUCAUGUCAAGAACAACCAAUUUGUUAAGGUGCUUGAACGAGGAAGGUAACAUCACCAAAUUUUCACAAUGGCUGAGACAGAGUUCCUCGAUAUUUACGGCUUUUGAAAGAUCAGGAAUCUCUUUUAGAUUCGCAGACAUACUUAAAUCCAUCUGCUUUAGACUUCUAAGAGGCUAAAAAAAUCCCACAUGAAACAAAUAAAAAUUGACAAACAAUUAGAUAAUGUUAAUGCGAAUUGAGAAAGGAGAGCUAUCAAAUUAACUUACUUGUGUUCCUUCCCACAGCUUCUCAAGUUGGCUCUUUCUUAGAUUGAUCACAACAAGAAACUCUGGACGAAAACUCAGAGGCAUUGAUGUCAUGGGGAAUGCAUCCCAGUGCAGCAGCCUGAGUUUACGGGGUAAAUAAUCCAAUCCCCGAGGUAAAUGCAGCUCGGUUUGAUCUUUCCUCGGAAAGGAAUUGUAAAAUCUUAAAAACAACAGAUUAUGCAUCCCACAAAAAGCUCUUUCACUAAGAAACCACUCAUUGAUCUUUGAUAUGUCCAAAGAUAUGCCCAAAACAGCUCCAGUACCCUGAAACACAGAGAUAUCAACUGAAAGUAAUGUUUAUGUGAAACUAAAAAUGAAAGUAACGUGGCAAAAAAUUGACUUACAGUGUGAUCAACAAGUACAUCAUAUAUCUCUGAAGCAUCAACCAAGAAUUGACGUUUUCCAGGCUCGUCAAGGGAUUGUUCACAAACAACUUCUCUACCCAAUUGUUCUAGCAAAUUGUGCAUCGUAAUGGUAUGACUGCAUCUCGAUAUGUGUAUGAGAGAUUUAUUGGUAAGGACUUCAAGCCCAAAGUUGACAUCCAAGCCAGAACUUGCAAGUACUUGCUUCACAUAAUCAACGUUCUCACCAUUAAAUAAACACGCAAUAUGAAGGAAUAUGGCCUUAUCCUUCUCGUGUAAACCAUCAUAUCCGACUCUUAAAACAUUUCUAAUGUCCUCAUUUAGACUGGUUCUGAGUCGAGGCAAUGCUGAUUUUUGUUCAUCUUUGCUCAUCCCUCGCAGAGAGGACCCCAAAACCUUCAGAGCUAGGGGAAGAUAGCCAGCAAGCUUUGUAAUUUCAGUAGCAAUCUCAGUACAACCAUCUGGUGCAGAGCUGUCUCCAAAUGCAGAUUGGCAGAAAAUCUGAAGAGACUCACGUCUAGAUGGAAAACCCAACUCGUAUAUGAAAUUGAUUUCAUGCGCUCUCAAAAGCUGUUUGUUUUCCGUGGUCACGAUGAUCCUACUUCCAGAACCAAACCACUGAGUCUGUUUCACUAAGGCAUCAAGUUGUUCUAGGUUAUCAACAUCAUCAAGAACAACAAGAACUUUCAGAUCCUGCAAUCUUUCCUUUACCAAACCUAAAUCAUGUAUCUUCAUACGCUUAUGAUCAAUAACUUCAGACAGAAACUCUUCUUGCAAACGCAGUUUGAAGCCAUAGCUAUCAAGUUCCGAGCUCUUAGUACUUCCCUUAACAUUCUCCAUAAAAAUAGUGUGUUGGAAGUUUUCAGAGAGUCGGUUGAAUAAAGCUCUGGCAACUGUUGUCUUGCCAAUUCCUGCAGGACCCCAAAUCCCCACCAUCUUCACUUCAGUUGAUUCUAGACAUAACAGUGAAUCCAUCUCUCUCAUAUGAGCGUCAAUUCCAACCAGAUUAUCAGCAUCUCGUGAUGGUGUAAAAUUCAAUUCAUUUGAAAUGCUCAUAGCAAUUUUUUCAAUCAUGUCUGCUUCAUUGUCCCUAUCAAGAAGAAAAGAUUGCUUUCACCAAACCAUAAAAAUAACGAGAACAAGAAAUUCAAUGCAUUCAUAUGAAACAAAGUUUGGAUAUUAUGACUAAAGGAAUCAGAAUAACUAACCAAUUUUGAGAAGACUCGCCGGCUAUAUUAGCCAUAUAGACCAAAGCUUCUCUCCAUCUCUGCUUCACUUCCUCAUCUGGCUGUCCUUCACAUGCUUUCUCAAACGCCUUUCCAAAUUCUCCUCGUAGUUUCCUCACAUCAGAUGGAUCCACUUCGUAGAAAACCGGCAUGAUGUUCUGGCUAACAUUCUUUAUCUCCACCAACUCAUUCAAACACCAGCUUGAAGAUGCAUAGGUUCGCGACAGCACUACAACCACAAUCCUAGAUUCCCUUAUAGCAUGAACGAGCUCAGAACUGAUAAUUUGGCUUCUCUUGAUAUCAUUAUCUAUGAACGUACGGAUUCCUUUUCGCUGGAACUCCUUGAGCAGGUGGCUGAGAAAUGUUCGACGGACGUCUUUGCCGCUGAAGCUUGGGAACACAUGGUAUCUCCAAUGGCAAGACUGCAAUGACAAUGAUGAAGAAACUGCCAUGAGAGAAGCUGAAAAGUAUAGCUUAUAAUCCUUCUUUGUUUGUUUAUUUGGAAAGGAAAAGUUACCACAGAUCUUGAGGGAUUGAUAGAUAUAUCUCUGGACCCUUAUGAUUGGCUUGUGACUUGUCCUCUUCUGCUUUGCGUCAAGACUUGAGAUACUCUUUGCGCGUUCAUAAGGUUGACUUUUUGCCUCGUAUUGCGUUUGUACACACACAAGAGUUUUAAUUCCAGUUUCGAAGUAGUUGAAUCAUGGAUCAUUUUUCCCAAAAGUUCAAAAAUUACGACCAAGGUCAGAAACGCUCAUACCUCUCUUAUGAGUUAACACUUUUGACCAAAAUCUUCCGGUUGUCAAUUGUCACAUUUGAAAAAGGUUUUGUGUUUAGGACCAGCAAGUUAAAAAUAUUCUUUGAUUACUGAUUGAGGUCUUGAAAGCAAGAAUGGGACUACAAUUCUAAUCUCGUAAAAUAACCUACUUCCACUAAGCAGACAAACCAAAUUUGCCUUGCAAAGAUUGAUUUUCUUUUUUGAAAUCCAAUGAAAGCAAGUCAAAGGAAGAAAGCCUUGAGAUAUGUAAAUGGAAAAAUCAAAUCCUCUGCAUUAUUUCUGUUCUGAAAAAUGAAAACAACAUCAACCUAAGCAAUAAGCAUAGUCGAGAACACAACUUCUAUAUUGAGUCAACUCAACAAGAGCAAAGACUACUAACUACAAUUAACAUUUAGCCCAUUUGCUUAAUGGAGAUUUCAUCACUGUAAGCCAAUUACAUCAAGCAACAGUCUUCUCAUAAACUGAACUAGAACUAAUAUUUAGACACAAAUGGAGAUUGAAAGGAAUGAUGAUUAACCUAACCUUUGAUCGAGAACUAUACAGAUGUCAUACAUAUCAAGACAAGAAAUAAAAUAGUAAAAAGGCAGACCAGACAAUGAAAUAAAAUAAGAACUUUAAGAUAAGAAACGAUAGCAUAACAUAAGUUUCUUGGAGAAUCACCAUUAUCCAAAAAAAGCAUAAGAAAACUGAAAUUAUAAAAUCUAACGAGUCUCAGAUCACAAGUCCAUACUCAAAUACUCCAAAAAAAACCUUAAGAUGAUUCGA
rnacentral:lncRNA from 1 species